rnacentral:lncRNA from 1 species
AAAAGAUUUUGUGUGAAAAUGGCUUUGGAGCACAAAAGUAAGAGAAAACUUUCCAGAGCAACAAAGGACACAAUUCACUUUAUCACGGUAAAGAAGUACAGUUUAAAAAUGCUGCCCACAAGAUAAGAUUCUGGUUGCCUUCAAGUGGUGGUAUCCAGAUAGAAAACAACGGUGUCCCUUUUUUCUAUAUUCAUUGGGAAAGUGAUCAAGCAAUGUCACUUAGGGAAAGAUACAGAUAAAGCCACAAAGGACAGAAGAUGUAAGGAGCGCCAUGAACAAUGGGAUGGGAUACAGGAGGAUGCCUUUUCAAAUAAUCAAAAGCCACGAUGCAGAAAGCGAACAACCCAAAAAAUUGGCUGUAAUGCCAAAAUUUACUUGUAUCACAUUGUUAGGUUUCCUGACUACAAGAUACCAAGGAACAUAUGUCAGGAUGGCAUCAUCUAAUUGCCAGUAUAGGUACCAAAUGUCCACGCUGACUCUUACACAGAAGUUGAUUCCCCGGACAACACAGAUAAGCAAGCUCAACCGCACAUGUGCAGCACUAGCUAUAGUAACGUUCAAGCCACUAGGAACAGAGUGGCGGCUGUGCUCAAGGUUCUGACUGAUCAGUGUUGCAUGUUGGAGGACCAGGAGAUGCUGAGUAAAAUGCAGCAUCAAUUAGAGGCUCUGCAUGAUGUGGUCGAGGGAUAUAUCUCAAAAUUUGAUGAAUUUAAUAAAAAGCACCAACACCCAAAAAGAGAAUGCUCACUUUGAAGAAAGCAGAGCUUUUCUCCAAAAGGAGAAAAGUGAUGACGUCGAGAGAAGGCAUUGUAGAUGCGGAUAAGCAGAAUGAGUUCUGUUAAUAACUGCUGUCCACUAAAUACAGGUACACAUAAUGACCUUUGCUGUGAGUUCUGCAAUGGUUACAAUGACGUCACUAAGAUUUAUUUUAAUAAAUAUUCCUUUUUGUAUUUCUGUCCUAACACUUUUGUAAAUUCUCUGCUAUUAUUUAGUUACAACAGUAUUGGAUUAUAGGGUACCCAGUUGUCCUGGUUACUUAUUAUUUGAUGAAAUAAUUGUUUAUUUUAUGAUCUGCUAUCCUGCAUUCAUCGCUUAGAAGCUAAUGCAUUUAUAUUUAUUGAAGUUGACAGAGUGGCAGCAGACUUACAUGAAAACAAUGUUUUAAGACUGCGCAGAUCAAAAUUCCAUGGACAAGCCUCAAAUCUUGGGGUUUUAUGUAAAGGGUCUAAACUUUCAAAAACAUUAUAUACAGGUGCUUUAUUGGAACUUUAUUGGAUUUAUCAUCCAUUGCAAGAAGAGUAAUAAUUGUACACAAAGAACAAAGUUAAUGUUGUGAACUUUUUUAUAAAAAAAAUAGAUAUCACUUUGUAUCAGUAUCAUAUGAAAUCUAAACAAGGCAGCAAAGUUGUCAAAAUUGGAGACAAAAAGUAGAAAAUAAUGAUGCACAAAAUAGGUCGUUUGGCCAAUUUUGAUACAAUAAUACUAUAUUCAGAUUUAUGCAAAAUGGGAUCAAAACCAAUCAACCAUGUCUAUCAUUAACAAUGAAUGAGGCCGUUCACACUAGCACUUUUGACCGCGGUCUGGGGGUUGGACUGUCCUGUG